UACGUACUGGGCGAACGUUAUUCGGAAUCACUGGGCUUAAAGGGUGCGUAGGCGGUUUGGCAAGUCUUGUGUGAAAUCUUUGGGCUCAACCCAAAGCCUGCAUAAGAAACUGCCGGGCUUGAGUAUGGGAGAGGUGAGUGGAAUUUCCGGUGUAGCGGUGAAAUGCGUAGAUAUCGGAAGGAACACCUGUGGCGAAAGCGGCUCACUGGACCAUUACUGACGCUGAGGCACGAAAGCUAGGGGAGCAAACAGG
rnacentral:rRNA from 1 species